rnacentral:lncRNA from 1 species
GUUGCUAUGUUGGUUGUCCCUACCUUUGAGACAUGCUCAAUUUGUUAAAUACUAAUCACACUACUCUAUCUCCACUUGAGUAGAUCUCUAUAAAUGCUGUCAUGCUACCUUUGUCUAUUUACUAGGAAGUGUUGGUUUGGAAGUACUCGACAUACUUCCAUUGGCAUUUAAAUUAAGCAUGGUGCUUAGGUUAAAUAGCCUUUCUUAAUCUGAUUAGACAUGGAGUCUAGUUUGUUUAUUGAACUAAAAACUGCUUGAGUAGAUAUUGGUAUAUUUUAUCGGACUAACCCCUGCAGGAAAACUUUCAAUAUCGAUUUGGGAAGUCCUGAGAUAAACUCACAUAGAGAUGAAGAGAGUGACACAUGAAGUUUAACAAUUUGCACAAGAAGGACAUAACUCAUUCAUCAUACAGAGAUGAUCCAUGGAAGGAGACAAAGUACAUAAACAAGAUACACAACCACUACGAAAUGAAGGCUUCCACAAGGUGAUACUAUACCAUCACUCUUCAAGUAAGGUAACAUCUUAAGAUAUUUGACUAUCACUUUUAUAAGCUUCUCCUUGGUUCUGGCGUUCACAUAAGUAAAGAGAAAAACAUGCAUGAUUUAUAACUCCAAAUUAACCAACCCAACUGAUUCAGCAUGUUUAGUUCUUUAAUCUUUGUUCCUAGUACUACCUCCAUGAUCCCACACUCCUAACCAUAUGAGCUAAAAUAUUGCACAUUUAAUCUUUGGGAAGAUAUAAAGAAAAAGGCAUAUAUAUAGAUAGAUUAUCUUUCCAUUAGGUUGAGUGAUCUGAUCCGGCAAAUGUUUUAAAUGCUACACUCAUGAACUUAUCAUUCAUCAACUUUGUCUUGCUCACUAUGCUUAAGGUUAGAGAAGAACAAAUACACUUUUGGUUCUGUUGGUGUUAUCCACCAACAGGACCCAUGCACUUGAUCUCUGCCUUGUCUCUAUGAACAGGUACACUACGAGCACAAACACACUGAGCAAGAUACUGCCAACACCGCACUUCGAACUACUGGGCAAACGAAGAACAUGGGUGACACCGUAUUAAGAGGUGCAGACGUCAAGGUCCACCCCUGAAUAAAAUGACGCACCUGAAGAAUGAACACGGUGAGAAGUCUUGUUGAGAAGACUUAAAACAUUGAAUCCUCGCCGAAAGGUAAAAUCGGUAGUUAUCCAUAUUUAUCGUUUCUGCAUUCCCUUUUCCCUUUAAUUACUUACUUUCCUUAAAAUAGCUUAUUAGUUAAUCAUGCUAUCUUGAAAAAAAAUAAAAAUGUUAAAAAAUACUAAGCCCCAUGUGAGUAUGCUCGUGGCAUGAAACCCAUAAGUACAUUAACUGUGGUGGCGUAAAAAUAAAAUAAAUAUAUUUCUGUUCUAUAGAAAUGAAAAUAUAAAAAUAAAAUUAUGAUCCUACCAAAGAGAGUAAUAUUUAUUAGAGGAAGCUCAACAUGAUAAAGGCAAAGAGAUUUUUAUGCUAACACUUAACUAGUUCCACAAAGCUUUGUUGUCUAUUUGAGCUCCACAGAAUUCAAAGAUCAAAGAAGACUAGCAGACAGAGGACAUUCUAAUCGCUGUCAGGGUGCUGCCGACAUUCAAAUACACCUCCGCCACCUGCUAGCUACAUCAAAAGAUAUUACGUCAAAAUCCAGCUUGGGGGAGAGCACCCCCAUUUAUCCAGCUAAGUGUUUCUACUCGCGUUUAUACUUUACUCAAAUAAUAAAAAGAUGCAUAAUCAUAUAAACUCAAAUAAAGAUUUUAUGCUUAUAUAUAUAUAUCAAUGCUUAGUUUGCUAAAUAAAUACAUAAAUAAAGUUUGCUAUGAACCCUCAUGAUCAACUCUCACAUGGAAAUAAUGAAUAGUUGCUCUGCCAUGACUAGUUCUUAAAAUUAAAAUCUCUCUCAAGUUUAGGCAUAAUUGUUAUAAUUUAAACCUGCUCUAAACCUAAACUUGUGGGAAGAGUACUUGAUCUAAAGUCUAAGUCGUUAACGGAUAUGAUAUGGGAUGGUUGAGCUGCUGUUUAUCUGUUCCUAGAGAUGCUAGAAUUCUGGAGAAUUUUAUCUUUGAAAAUCUUUAAAAUGUUGCAUGAUGAGUUCCUGUAUGAUGAGAGUUUAAAAUCCUACCACAGCCAUAUAUACAUGCUUAUUAGACUAUGAACCAUACAUUUACUUUUUACUGCUUAUGAGCAUUGAGUGUGGUCAAGCUGUGUAUACCCUUAGGAGCUUGUCAUGCGGUUUAAAUCAAGAUUCACUUGCACGUUCACUCAUAGGAGCUUGUAGACCCUUAGACCCUUAGGAGCUUGUAAUGCUGCUUCUACUCCGGAAGUAUGCAUCCACAUACAUCCACUCAUUUCCAUCUCCAGAUUCACCCAAAAUUAUUCUACUCCUAUCCGGGAGAGAAUAGCCAAAAACAUUAUCCCAUUCCUGUUUUUCCCUGUGAAAUAAAUGCUCAAGCUAUUUUGGUUACUACCACUUGCUACAUUAUUCUAGGAGGGUGAAUGCUCUAAAAAAAGAAAAAAAAAGAAAAAAAAAUAUACGAGGAAAUAAAAAGGGGCAAGUGCCCGGAACCUCGAAGAAAAAGAAAAAGUGAGACGAGAGGUAAAAAUGGACAAGUGUUCGACAGUAGAAUUAGCGUUACAAGAUAACCACCUGAGAGAAAAGAAAAAGAAAAAAAUAGAGCAUCUCAUUCCUCUCAAAAACCUUCAAAGUGCAAGAAAGGUAUGUAUCCCCUCAAAAGAGCAAAAGUAGAAUUAGACUUUCACCAUUAUUUUAACCAUUAUCACCAUCAUCACCAUACACCAUUCAUCCGCCACACAUGCACAUCUUGGUUUGACUUAUUGACUUGUUUCUCUGGAUCCAUGGUUUGACUAUGCAAUAAAUGUCUUGUAAGUAUGUAUUAGCUGUCUCCCACCUAUGAGCUCCAGAUAUCAAAACCUUAUUAGAGUAGGGUGAGAGAGAAGGCAAUAUCACUAUGCCUCAUACCACAAAUACUACAUACUUUGAGAGAAGGCGUAUAUUAUCACUGCCUUGGUAAGGAUCCAGAAAUACCACAAAAGAGAGACUAGAGAGAGUCAUACAAGGAAUCUCUAAGUUUUAUUUGAAAAUCUGCAAAAACUCCAGAGCUAUAGUUGAUCAAAGAACAAGAGACAUGGUGCUUGACUUGACCGUUCUAUCUUUUAACUGCUCAAGACACAAGUGACGGUUGCAAGCCCCAUGGUGAAAGGUAAUAUGAGUAAGUUUAAAUCUUAACAGUUUACCCUAACCUAGAGAUGAGAUCUUGUUUGAACGCAUGAGUACCUUUAAGGCAUAAAACCACUGCAGAAACUCUUGAGUCCAUCCUUGCUCAGGGACGAGCAAGAGGUAAGCUUGGGGGAGUUGUUGACGGUCCUUAAGUACCAAAAAUAAUCAUCAAAUAAAUAAAUAAAAGGAUCCAAAUGCAACCAACACCUAGACUUAGGGUUUUAUCUGACAGAAUUCCACGAGUUUUGGUGUUUGGCUAUUUUUGCAGGGGGUUAUCAGGAAAUACGGAAGAAAGGCCCACAUGUCGGGAUUACAUAGAGAUACCAACGUACCGCACAAUUUUCUAUCAUCUAGAAGACUCUAGAAGCCACGGGAACGAACGGAGGCCGAACGGGGCCAGAGGAGAGGCCGGCCUGUCGGUUC